AUUGAACGCUGGCGGAAUGCUUUACACAUGCAAGUCGAACGGUAGCACGGGGCAACCUGGUGGCGAGUGGCGAACGGGUGAGUAAUAUAUCGGAACGUGCCCAAUCGUGGGGGAUAACGUAGCGAAAGUUACGCUAAUACCGCAUACGAUCUACGGAUGAAAGCGGGGGAUCGCAAGACCUCGCGCGAAUGGAGCGGCCGAUAUCAGAUUAGGUAGUUGGUGGGGUAAAGGCUCACCAAGCCAACGAUCUGUAGCUGGUCUGAGAGGACGACCAGCCACACUGGAACUGAGACACGGUCCAGACUCCUACGGGAGGCAGCAGUGGGGAAUUUUGGACAAUGGGCGCAAGCCUGAUCCAGCCAUUCCGCGUGCAGGAUGAAGGCCUUCGGUUGUAAACUGCUUUGUUACGGAACGAAACGGUC
rnacentral:rRNA from 1 species